AACGUAGGAGGCGAGCGUUAUCCGGAUUUACUGGGCGUAAAGCGCGUGCAGGUGGUUUGGUAAGUUGGAUGUGAAAGCUCCUGGCUUAACUGGGAGAGGUCGUUCAAAACUACCAGACUUGAGGAUGGGAGAGGGAAUCGGAAUUCCGGGUGUAGUGGUGAAAUGCGUAGAUAUCCGGAGGAACACCAGUGGCGAAAGCGGAUUCCUGGCCCAUAUCUGACACUCAGACGCGAAAGCUAGGGUAGCAAACGGGAUUAGAGACCCCGGUAGUCCUAGCCGUAAACGAUGCAGACUUGGCGUCGGCGGGUUUAAAUCCGUCGGUGCCGUAGCUUACGCGAUAAGUCUGCCGCCUGGGGACUACGGCCGCAAGGUUAAA
rnacentral:rRNA from 1 species